CCAGGCUUUUCUGAUAAUGGUUUUCAUAUGUUAGAGUUGUCCUAACUCCAGAUACUGUUCUAAGGAAUUUCUCGAUAGAUUUAUUCUUUUGACGAACAGACUGCAAAGCUUUCUAUCUGAGAGGUUUCAGCUGGGAGUAAAAAGUUGAACACACGGGAUGAAGAGUUAAGUGGUGUUUUAUCAGAGAACUGUGUGUAUAACUACAUUGAAAGAACAGAAUCGACAAGAAGACGUCUGCAGGACAUCAAACUAAUAACGACGAUGCACCCAUCUUUCCUGAUUGUAGUAACAAGCUUCCUGUUGAACUUUCCAGUUUCAGAGACGGACAAGAUGUGGUGUUCUGAAUACCUUCUGUCUGGUUUUUCUGGUGUUCCGAACGAAG